GUUGAACGCUGGCGGCAUGCCUAACACAUGCAAGUCGAUCGGUAAGGCUCUUCGGAGUACACGAGAGGCGGACGGCUGAGUAACGAGUAGGAACACACCCUGCAGGGAGGGGUAAGACACCGACAGGAGUUCUAAUACCGCCUACGGUCGUCGGAUUGAAGCAUUUGUGCGCUGAAGGGGUUGCCUGCGUCCUAUUAGAUAGUUGGUGAGGUAAUGGGUCACCAAGUCGAUGGUGUGUAGCGGGUCUGAGAGGAUGAUCAGCCAGACUGGAACUGAGACACGGUCCAGACUCCUACGGGAGGCAGCAGUGAGGAAUAUUUCACAAUGGGCGAAAUCUUGAUGGAGCAAUGCCGCGUGCAGGAUGAAGGCCCUCGGGUUGUAAACUGCUUUUAUAAGAUAAGAUUAUGACGUUAACUUAUGAAUAAGGGACGGCUAACUACGUG
rnacentral:rRNA from 1 species